rnacentral:lncRNA from 1 species
CAAAUGUGUCCCUCCCUCUUGCUAUCCUUUGUGCAGUUUCCUUCCUUCUGUCUCGUACCCCACCCUUUCUCCACUGCCCCUCAGUCAUUGGCACAGCAGAUCACUUACACACCUGGAUGCUCUGACCUCAGCAGCAGUAUCUGGCUAUUUCCAGCAUCCAGGGGAACCAAGGAAGUAAUGGAUGUUGUCCAGUCUUAGCAGCAGCUGUUCCUUGCCUCAGUGACAGCAAAGGGUGGAAACUUGUGGAAAAACCUGCCUCAGGGUUUCCAACUGAUGGUCUCAUUUUCAAUGCUGAUAAGCUUCCUGAAUUCUAUGAGCCUGGACUAAAAUUUCCUGUGCCAGAAAUGUGCCUUGGAACACAAGGAAGAACUUCUUUUCUGGGUGAAGGAAUGCACACUGGAACAGACUGCCCGAAGAGGUUGAGAAUUUUCCUCACUGAAGAUAUUCAAGAACUGUGAGGCUACAACCCUGUGUGCCAUGUGUUCUGGGAUGACCCUGCUUGAGCAGGGAGGUUGAACCUGAUGACCCACUGUGGUCCUUCCCACCUCACCCAUUCUGUGAUUCUGUGAGUUAGUUCUGUGAUUUUUCCAUUAUACAACUGGCUUUUUGGGAAAGUGAAAAAAAAAACCAAAAAAAAACAAAAAACCAAAACCAAACCACCAGCCAAUAAAAAGCUAACACUAUAACCCUAUAGGAUAACU